CCUACGGGAGGCAGCAGUAGGGAAUAUUGCUCAAUGGGGGAAACCCUGAAGCAGCAACGCCGCGUGGAGGAUGAAGGUUUUCGGAUUGUAAACUCCUUUUGUUAGAGAAGAUAAUGACGGUAUCUAACGAAUAAGCACCGGCUAACUCCGUGCCAGCAGCCGCGGUAAUACGGAGGGUGCAAGCGUUACUCGGAAUCACUGGGCGUAAAGAGCGCGUAGGCGGGAUAGCAAGUCAGAUGUGAAAUCCUAUGGCUUAACCAUAGAACUGCAUUUGAAACUGUUAUUCUAGAGUAUGGGAGAGGUAAGUGGAAUUCUUGGUGUAGGGGUAAAAGCCGUAGAGAUUAAGAGGAAUACUCAUUGCGAAGGCGACCUGCUAGAACAUAACUGACGCUGAUGCGCGAAAGCGUGGGGAGCAAACAGGAUUAGAUAUCCGUGUAGUC
rnacentral:rRNA from 1 species